rnacentral:rRNA from 1 species
GACGAACGCUGGCGGCGUGCUUAACACAUGCAAGUCGAACGGAUAGGCCCUGCUUUUGUGUGGUUCUCGCGUGGCGAGCGGGUGAGUAACACGUGAGUAACCUGCCCUUGACUUUGUGAUAACUUCAGGAAACUGGGGCUAAUACCGGCUAGGAGCUCCUGCUGCAUGGUGGGGGUUGGAAAGUUUCGGCUGAGGGGGGUGGACUCGGGGCUUAUCAGCUUGUUGGGUGGGUAGUUGCUUAGCAAGGCUUUGACGGGUAGCCGGCCUGGGAGGGUGAACGGCCACAUUGCGACUGAGAUACGGACCAGACUCCUACGGGAGGCAGCAGGGGGGAAUAUUGCACAAUGGGCGGAAGCGUGAUGCAGAGGCGCUGCGUGCGGGAUGACGGCCUUGGGGUUGUAAACCGCUGUAGCUUGUGACGAAGCGUGAGUGACGGUACUGGGUAAAGAAGCACCGGCUAACUACGUG